rnacentral:lncRNA from 1 species
UGGGGGAAUGGCUGAUUAUUACAGAGACAGUGUUGCUAUUGGAGCUUUUUCCGCGAUGGAGAAAGGGAUUUUAGUUUCUUGCUCUGCUGGUAACGCGGGUCCUAGUCCUUACAGUCUCUCAAACGUGGCACCUUGGAUUACUACCGUGGGUGCUGGCACUCUGGAUCGUGACUUCCCGGCUUAUGUUUCUCUAGGGAACGGGCUUAACUUCUCCGGCGUGUCGCUCUACCGAGGUAACGCUUUACCCGAUUCCCCGCUACCGUUUGUUUACGCAGGGAAUGCAAGCAACGCCACGAACGGGAACCUG